rnacentral:rRNA from 1 species
CCCAGAGACGCUGGCGGCGUGCUUAACACAUGCAAGUCGAACGAUGAUCUCCAGCUUGCUGGGGGGAUUAGUGGCGAACGGGUGAGUAACACGUGAGUAACCUGCCCUUGACUCUGGGAUAAGCCUGGGAAACUGGGUCUAAUACCGGAUACGACCGUCCCGCGCAUGCGGUGGUGGUGGAAAGCUUUUGCGGUUUUGGAUGGACUCGCGGCCUAUCAGCUUGUUGGUGGGGUAAUGGCCUACCAAGGCGACGACGGGUAGCCGGCCUGAGAGGGUGACCGGCCACACUGGGACUGAGACACGGCCCAGACUCCUACGGGAGGCAGCAGUGGGGAAUAUUGCACAAUGGGCGAAAGCCUGAUGCAGCGACGCCGCGUGAGGGAUGACGGCCUUCGGGUUGUAAACCUCUUUCAGUAGGGAAGAAGCGAAAGUGACGGUACCUGCAGAAGAAGCGCCGGCUAACUACGUGCCAGCAGCCGCGGUAAUACGUAGGGCGCAAGCGUUAUCCGGAAUUAUUGGGCGUAAAGAGCUCGUAGGCGGUUUGUCGCGUCUGCUGUGAAAGACCGGGGCUCAACUCCGGUUCUGCAGUGGGUACGGGCAGACUAGAGUGAUGUAGGGGAGACUGGAAUUCCUGGUGUAGCGGUGAAAUGCGCAGAUAUCAGGAGGAACACCGAUGGCGAAGGCAGGUCUCUGGGCAUUAACUGACGCUGAGGAGCGAAAGCAUGGGGAGCGAACAGGAUUAGAUACCCUGGUAGUCCAUGCCGUAAACGUUGGGCACUAGGUGUGGGGGACAUUCCACGUUUUCCGCGCCGUAGCUAACGCAUUAAGUGCCCCGC